GCGGCUUUGACCCCUGCUGCGCCUGCGCGUGGCGCUAAUGAUAGCGCUAGGGCGCCAGAGCGCGCGCUUGCGCAUUACUGGUGCCUUCUGGCCCUUUGGUAGCAGCCUUAUUAACUGUAGGCGUCCGGU
rnacentral:snoRNA from 1 species